CAGUCGCCGCGGUAAUACGUAGGGUGCAAGCGUUAAUCGGAAUUAUUGGGCGUAAAGAGCUCGUAGGCGGUCUGUCGCGUCUGGUGUGAAAUCCCGAGGCUCAACCUCGGGCUUGCAUCGGGUACGGGCAGACUAGAGUGCGGUAGGGGAGACUGGAAUUCCUGGUGUAGCGGUGGAAUGCGCAGAUAUCAGGAGGAACACCGAUGGCGAAGGCAGGUCUCUGGGCCGCAACUGACGCUGAGGAGCGAAAGCAUGGGGAGCGAACAGGAUUAGAUACCCCUGUAGUCCCUGUCUCUUAUAC
rnacentral:rRNA from 1 species